rnacentral:rRNA from 1 species
GAUGAACGCUGGCGGCGUGCCUAAUACAUGCCAGUCGAGCGAACGGACGAGAAGCUUGCUUCUCUGAUGUUAGCGGCGGACGGGUGAGUAACACGUGGAUAACCUACCUAUAAGACUGGGAUAACUUCGGGAAACCGGAGCUAAUACCGGAUAAUAUUUUGAACCGCAUGGUUCAAAAGUGAAAGACGGUCUUGCUGUCACUUAUAGAUGGAUCCGCGCUGCAUUAGCUAGUUGGUAAGGUAACGGCUUACCAAGGCAACGAUGAAUAGCCGACCUGAGAGGGUGAACGGCCACACUGGAACUGAGACACGGUCCAGACUCCAACGGGAGGCAGCAGUAGGGAAUCUUCCGCAAUGGGCGAAAGCCUGACGGAGCAACGCCGCGUAAGUGAUGAAGUUUUUCGGAUCGUAAAACUCUGUUAUUAGGGAAGAACAUAUGUGUAAGUAACUGUGCACAUCUUGACGGUACCUAAUCAGAAAGCCACGGCUAACUACGUG